rnacentral:pre_miRNA from 1 species
UCACCCCGUUUUACUGUGUCACGUACAGUAAAAUGUUUUACUUUGUCACGUACAGUAAGCCCCAUUUUACUGUACGUGACACAGUAAAACGGGGUGA